rnacentral:rRNA from 1 species
AUGGCACAUGGCAGUAGUAUUCUCCUUCAUACCUGGUCAACCGUUGUAUUUCUAUUGCGUCUUGCAAGUCAGCAUACAAUUCCGUUCUUAGGUUUCCUUGAUGCCUUUCGAUCCAGUCUAUUUGUACAACAAAAUAUAUGCAAGGGCAAUGAACUGCAAUUUAGGCUUUUCACACACAAGCAAGUGUUUCGACAGAAAGGAGAUCAACUUCCAAGACCAGUGGAUGUUAAGUUCCAAUCUUCAUUUGAAAACACAAAUAUGAUGGUACUUGCCGGAGGUGGUCUGCUUGCUCGAUGGAGCCGAUGGCACAAUCAAGGAGAUUUGGACACUCGCUCGUGA